AGGCAGGUGCUUGUGCUGCUGAGCUGUAUCCCUGGCCCUUAUGCCCCAUGGCCAAAUUCUCCAACCUAGUGAGCUUCUCUGCACAUGAACUUCUCUCUGUGGGACAUCUUUACUUAACUUGACUAACUACUGUCAUUCUUCAAGAUCAAGGAACUGACUAAUAAAACAUGGUGAAAAUAAAAGACUAGAUCUACCUCUGCAAUGCCUGGUAUUAGAAGACGGGCAGACUGAAUA